CUUCAUGAGUUCACAUUGAUCUCUGGGUCUGGUUUCCUUCCUCUGUGAAGGGGAGGGGGGCCUGUGGACUCAGUCAUCUGGGACCGGCAGGCACCUCACAUCGCUCUCUGGUGUGCACUUAAGCACACAUGCUUUUUGGUACUGGGACUCGAACUUAGGACCUUGUGAUUGUCAGGAAGGCGCUUAUGCAGAGCAAGAAACUAAGGCCUUGAGAUACCCCAAAGCUUGCCUAGGGCCACGGAACUCAUCCUGACACAGCCUCCUGGCCUCUCCUGCGCCCUCAGCUGCUGCAGCCUCCCAGACCCUGCACCCCACUUCCAUCCUGCACCCAGUGAACAACUUCUCCUUUAAGAUCUCACUCGAGGCUCUCACCUCCACCCAGGACCAGGAACCUUUCUUCCUCUGCAUUCUCCUGCCUUCCAUUGUAACCAGUCUUGGUCUACAUGAAGUAUUUGCUGACUGACUAAACAAGUACCCCAUUUCCUAAGAAGAGGUCAUGAUUGGCAAGGCCACUAUAGGGGCGUUGGCCACCCUGCUGUUGAUUUUUUAGAACCAAGGUGGUUGUAACUGGAAGAUGCUGAGAGGAGCGAUGAAGCCCUUGUGAGACAGACUCCAACAGAAACACAGAUCAACCCCGCUUCCCCUCCCCUGCAUUCCCCUGACUGCAGCUCCCGGCUGGAUGCCUGACUUGUACUGCGCCUCCCCCUGCAGUGAGCAUGCCCCAGGGAGCCUGGCACCAGGGAUUUCCUGGCAGGAGAUGAUUCCAGCCUGGUGCAGCUGUCCUGGUCCGCCUGGCUGCUGUGCCUUAUCCUGGAGUUUUCAAGCUCCCUCCAGACAACCCCACCCUGUGUCCAAUAACCAAGCACCACAAAGGUAGCAUCAGUGUUAUGAUUACCGGCGUUCCGUCCUUCCCCAAGACUCAACAGUUUCCAUCACGGAAAAUGGUGACGAGGUGGAAGGAGAGGAUAAAUUACAUUACAGUUUCCAAAAUGGUUCUCGCUCUCCACCGAAGGUGGGCCACCGUCGGGGCGGCUCCUGCGCUCGUGGUCCCAGCUUGUGCUUUUUUGCAAGAAGAGGGGAUAUAACUAGACUGGUUAUUUUAGGUUAAAAUAGCCAAGAGACAGACGCUUUUGCCUCAAAAAUAUUCUGAGACACAUACAAGUAGAAGGAAACAAGUCUCUUCAGUCACAAAAUGUCGUACAUCCCGCAUAGACUAGAUUCAAUUAAUUUAAUAAAAUAGAAUAUACAUAGA